UCGUUUUGUGACUAAUAUUGUCAUUUCCUUUCCUGAAAGAAUACUUUAGACAUGAACACCCAAACCCUAGCUUUCUGCUCUCCCGAGGGGCGUCUGGCCCCUGAUUCAUUUAGGAUCUCCCAUGGAGAUCGCAUCGCGGGUGUGGUUGUUCCGGUUAUAGGCUUCGCUGCAGCCGCUCUGUGGCCGGAGAUUGAGGCGGCCCUUCGCGGAGAUGGCCACCGCGAACCCCUUCGACUUCGUCGGCAGUAGCGAAGCUUUCCGCAAGAACUUUUCUCCACCUUGUUCAAUCCGGUUAGUACCAAUCGCAUUUGGUUUGGUUCAGCGCGGUGCUUUUCGAAAGGUCGACCUUUGUGAUGUUUCCUAUCGAAUUUUGGGUCUUGUGUGGUCUCCGUUGAAAUUUGAUCUUUUUUCAAUGACCUAAUGUCCUAAGCGAAGCUUCCGAGUGUGUUUGGCAUAUAGUGAGGGAGGCGAGAAAUGCUGCACCAUCACGCGGUGGUGCUGGCCGUGGCGAAACAAGGGAUGGAAGAGGUGGUCGAAGUGGCGGGACGUGCCCAAAUCGUUACUUUGGACAUGGCAACGCCAAUAGGAUCUCUAAGGAAUAUGGCGGUGGUAGUGGUGGUAGCGAUAGGCUUCUGGAGAGGGAACGCCCGCCGUGUCAGCCAUUUGGUGGUGGCCACGUGGUAGAUAUGGGGGCAGUGGUGGCAGUGGGAUUGAGGACUCUGGAGGUGACUCUGAACGGUCCUCACGUAGGUUGUAUGAGUGGCGCAGUGGCACAGGCUGAGGUUAUGAGACUAAACGCCAUGGGGCAGGACUUGGUAACUGUGGCACAGUUAAGAUUUCCUCUUCGUUUGUGAUUCAUGAUAUACUCGGAAGAAUUUUGGUGAAGGUAUGUUUGCAGUUGCCAUCACUGAUCUUGUUACGUUUGUGGAACUGUAUUAGAAGACAGUGAGAAGGAUGAUGUUUCUAAUGCCAAUAAGACUCUUGCAACCGAAAAGCAGCUAGAACACGAAAAAACCACCAACAGAUAUGAGCAAGGACAAUAAGUAGGGUGUGCCUCCUGAGACAGGAGAAAAGGAGGAUAAGGUGUUGGGAUAUAUUAGAACGAACAUUUAUUCUGCCUAGUUUCCUACUCAUUCAAAUGUUUCUUUAGUAUGUGUGGCAUCUCUUUACCAACAGGAUCCAUGUAUAUAUAGACACAUAAUGUUUCUUUUUCCUUCUUUUGCUAAUUUGAACGUAGUGGUUCAUUUACCACCAUACUGAGGUUGCAAAUUGUUAUUGUUGUUUUUCCUAGUUUUUGUCUGUAUACAGCAACUACCAUAAUGUCUAGCUUCUCAAAAUUCUUCUUAACAUUGAGCUCUAUGUAAGUGACCAUCAGUAGUCACACCAAGAGCAAACAAAUAUUUUUUUUAUCUGCAGUAAAAUUUCUUUGGUCUCCCUUAAUCUCUCCUCAUGUUACUAAUCUCAGUCAACUCAUCUUAUUUAUUGAGACAACCAAGAUCUCCUUUGGAUUGUUUGUUCAAUUUGAAAUCUUCUUUCUCAUAGUAUGGUGGGUUUUAUUAAAGAAAGGUAUAUCCAUAAAUUAUAUUGAUAUUAAAUAUAUGUAUGAUAAUGUAAUUAUUAGUGUUAGAACUAUAGGAAGUGUGUCUAUUGAAUUUUCUAUUAGCAUAGUAUUGCAUCAAUGAUUCGCAUAAAGUCCCUACCUUUUCACAUUGAUAAUGGAUGAACUUACUGGUCACUUAUAUGAUAGAGCUCCCUAGUGUAUGUUAUUUGUUGAUGAUAUUGUCUUAGUUGAUGAGAGCGUAAGUGGAAUUAAUUAUAUAUGUGAGCUAUGGAGACAAUCAUUAGAAACUAAAGAUUUUAGAUUUAAUAGGACCAAAGCUGAAUAUAUGAGAUGUAAUUUUAGUAAUCUUAAAAUUAGACAGAAUAAUAUAGAUAAGUUGGAUGAAUAAUAAGUUCCUUUAAGUAAAACCCUUAGGUAUCUUGGAUCAAUUAUUCAACAAGAUGGAGAGAUCGAUGAAGAUAUUAUUUAUAAAGUAAAAACAUAAUGAUUAAAAUGGCAAGGGACAUUAGGAGUCUUAUCUGAAUAUCAGAUACCUUUGAGAUUAAAGAAAGAUUUUAUAAAAUCGUUGUAAGACCAAUAAUACUUUAUGGAUCUGAGUGUUGGGUAGUUAAGAAAUAACAUAUACAAAAAAUUUAUGUUGCCGAGAUGAGAACGUUAAGAUGGAUGUGUGGAGUUAUUAGGAAAGAUAGAAAAAGAAAUAUUGUUAUUUGUGAACAACUAAGUAACGCAAUAGAGGACAAUCAUUUAAGAUGAUAUAUACAUGUGUUUAGGAGACUUCUAGAUAUGAUAGUCAGAAGAGAUAAAAUGAUUAAUGUUAAUGAUACGAAAGAAAUAAAGGAAGACUUAAAGACUUUAAUAGAAACUAUAAAUAAAGAUUUAAGUACUCUGAACUUAACUAAACAUAUGAUUUUUUACAGAUCUCAAUGAUGAUAAAAGAUCCAUGUAGUCGACCUCAAAUAAUUGGGCUUACGGUCUUGUUGUUAUUGUCGUAUGCUUUGUUGUGACUAAAAGUAAUAAUUCAUGAAUUUGAGCACUUAUUCCACUUUUUGCUUCAAUUUAUUUCAGUUAUAUUUUUUUAUGUUUUUGAUUGCUCAAAUAAUUUGGAUAACUGAUCAUCUUUCUGUAGUUGUAGUUUCCAGGUUGAAGUCUUUGUGCUGUAAUUUAAUGCUUUUGUACAUCUAUGUUGUAAUUUGGCUUGAUAUUAAUUGUUUAUUUCUUUACUUCAAGUUUCCAUUGUUUAAGCUAAGUAGCUAAUAGUUAUAAUUGCAUGGUAACUGGAACAGAAACUGUUUAGUAUUUAAUUCUUUGAAAACUUGCUCUUGUGCUAUGCUUACUAGAAAAUGAACGAAGUAUAAUGACUGUAACUUCGAAUGGCACAUAUACACAUUAAACUGUCUAUUUAUGUAUUACCCUUUUAGAAUGUUGUUAUUUGCACACUUUGACAAAUAACUUCACCAUGUCUUGGUUUAGUUCAUUUUGUUUAUUUCAUGACAUAAAAGAUUGAAAUAGGAUUUGUUUAACAUGAAAACGACAAUAUUAAGGGGUAUUUGGCAAUUCCAUGCAGGACUUUUAUUAGUACAGAAGGUUUCAUGUAUUAAUUACACUAAAGGUUUAUUAUCAUAGUUGUUUUAGCUAGUUGACUGAAAAAUCAACAUCUAGGGGUGACGAGUGAACUUAUUCCGAACAUGACAUUUUGAGGAGUAAAUAAUGCACCUCAGGUUAUCUGAAGAAAUCUUUUCAAGGUAUCCUUGAUGUUUGUUCUUCUCUGGUUUGGCUUGUACUACUGUUUGAUGUUGUGGUAAUGCACCUCAGUACUACUGCUUGGUGUGUACAUUGUGUCUAUCUAUUUUGCUUCUGCCACCUGGGAAACGAUGAUGUAGUGUGUGUUGUGUGUAUUAUUUGACUCGUUCAACGUGAUCCCGAAGGGGAUGACUAUGGAAGAGUACGAGAAGACAAGGGAGGAGAAAAGAAAGUCUUUACUUGCAAUAAAAGUCAGAAAGGAAGGUUGAAAUUGACAAAGAUUUGCGGUCUAUGCAGUAACCUUCAACCAAGAAAGGAAAGCCAUGCUGUGUUCGUAUAUGCUUUGUUUUGUUUGUCGUAUUGCUACUAAGGUACAUUACUAAUUUUAUGAUUUCUUUUUGCAAAGGAUAAAUUUUGAUCCUAUAUCAUAGGAUGAUUUGAUAAAGUUUUUAUUAAUCAAACUAGCUAGCAUGUUCAUUUUUA